AGCGAACGCUGGCGGCAUGCCUAACACAUGCAAGUCGAACGAGACCUUCGGGUCUAGUGGCGCACGGGUGCGUAACGCGUGGGAACCUGCCCUUAGGUUCGGAAUAACUCCCCGAAAGGGGUGCUAAUACCGGAUAAUGUCUUCGGACCAAAGAUUUAUCGCCUUUGGAUGGGCCCGCGUUGGAUUAGCUAGUUGGUAGGGUAAAAGCCUACCAAGGCGACGAUCCAUAGCUGGUCUGAGAGGAUGAUCAGCCACUCUGGGACUGAGACACGGCCCAGACUCCUACGGGAGGCAGCAGUGGGGAAUAUUGGACAAUGGGCGAAAGCCUGAUCCAGCAAUGCCGCGUGAGUGAUGAAGGCCUUAGGGUUGUAAAGCUCUUUUACCCGGGAUGAUAAUGACAGUACCGGGAGAAUAAGCUCCGGCUAACUCCGUG
rnacentral:rRNA from 1 species